AAGACCUUUAAAUCAGUCCCGUGAGACUGGCAAGGUAACGCUCGUUUACGAGAAAGAACACGUGAAGAGCGGAAGGAAGAAGCAUGUCCGUCAGAUGCCGAGAGCUAUGAUGGAUCACGAAGAGCUUCAACUUCUGCGCUGUAGCUUCAUGCAGCUUCUUUCCGCGCAUAUCGUGAAUGCACAACUCCUUGCCUACGGGUAAGGAGUUUUUUUGU
rnacentral:sRNA from 1 species